rnacentral:rRNA from 1 species
CUGCAGUCGAACGAUGACCCGGGAGCUUGCUCCUGGUGGAUAGUGGCGACGGGUGACUAAACGUGAGUACCUGCCCUUCACUCUGGAAUAACCGCGGGAAACCGCUUCUAAUACCGGAUACGACCCUCGGAGGCAUCUUCUGGGGGUGGAAACAUUUAUCGGUGGAGGAUGGACUCCCGGCCUAUCAGCCAAAUGGGGAGGGACAGNGUGAUAGCCCCACGGCCACUUACGACCUGAAAGGGUCCCCGGCCCCACUGGGACGGAGACACUUCCCAUAUUCCUACNGGAGGCAAAAUUAGGCAAUAUUGUGCAAUGGGCGCAAGCCUGAUGCUCCAACGCCUCUUGAGGUACGACGGCCUUCGGGUUGUAACCCUCUUUUAAUAAGGAANAAGCUAAUCUGACGGNACCUGCAUAAAAA